AUGCCCUCAUCACGGUGUGUGAAUGUGCUUGCUUCUAAAGAGCUGCUUUGCAGUCACUCACACCUGGGGGACUUUCCACAGGGAUCCUUCUUUUCCUGGGUUCUCUGCCAGCCCUGUGCACGGGGCCACAAUCACAGGAGGGCACACUGGCUGCCAAAUUGUUUUAAUCCUGAAAUGACUGCCAGGCUCUCUAGGUGAAGGCAGGGUCCACCCAGAAAUAUCCCAUGAGCUGCUGGAUAUCAGCUGGACCACUGUGAACAGAGCUGCUUAUAUUGCCCCAUGGAUGCACACAAGAAAAGAGGCCAUCCUUCCUUCUGUGGAAAACAGAAGAAUGAUAAUUCUCCUUUUUCCUAAUAAGGAGAUUUUAGAGCAAGUUUGAGUUUAGCCAAUUUUUGUCGCACAUUGCAAUUUAAUUGUUUUCUUCUCUUAAUUAAGUUCAUCUGACAGGAUUUAGCCAGAGAACUGUAUCUAAAAGCUUUUUUUGCUGACUGUAAACACUUGUUUCUGAGAACAUUUGUCCCUAAUUUUUUUUUCCCCCCGCUCUGCUUGGAAUUGCUGAUGAGAGCUGUCACAGGUUCAGGACAGGACUUUUGGUUCAUUUAAGGAAGGCUUUGAAAUAUAUAACCAGCAAAGUUUAAAUUUGGAUAAUGGUAUUAGAACAUGCCACAAUCACUCCUCAUCCCAGUCUCCCCCCAGAAGGCACUGAAACAUAGCAGCAAGACCAGAGGUGGAUAAAAAUCUGCUGAGCUUCAGAAUAACUACCUUAGUGAACCUGAACCCAAAUUCCAUAACCUGAGAUGAUUUAUCGUUUUGCAGCAGAAUCAUCCAAGACUUGGCUUUGUGUGGUUGUAAGGGAAAAUUCCACAGCUUUGACAUGUCUCUGAUUUUGUUGUGCUUACACAGUUAAUUUUUAAAAGGCAAAACAGAUGCUACUUUGAGAAAAUCUAUGUUAAGAGAUUAAAGGAAAAUUAUGAUUGCUGACUGAAACAGAAGAAAAGGAACAGUAUAUACAAACAGUUUUUUGGACAUUUUAUUUGCUAAAAGUAUGCAACAGCUAACAUUGCUUUCCUUGUAAGAGAUACAGGAAUAAUUAUACCUUACAGCAGUAA
rnacentral:lncRNA from 1 species